rnacentral:rRNA from 1 species
UUGAACGCUGGCGGCAUGCUUUACACAUGCAAGUCGAGCGGCAGCGCGGGGGCAACCCUGGCGGCGAGCGGCGAACGGGUGAGUAAUACAUCGGAACGUACCCAGUUGUGGGGGAUAGCCCGGCGAAAGCCGGAUUAAUACCGCAUAAGUCCUGAGGGAGAAAGCGGGGGACCGUAAGGCCUCGCGCGAUUGGAGCGGCCGAUGUUCGAUUAGCUAGUUGGUGGGGUAAAGGCUCACCAAGGCGACGAUCCGUAGCGGGUCUGAGAGGAUGAUCCGCCACACUGGGACUGAGACACGGCCCAGACUCCUACGGGAGGCAGCAGUGGGGAAUUUUGGACAAUGGGCGAAAGCCUGAUCCAGCCAUGCCGCGUGAGUGAAGAAGGCCUUCGGGUUGUAAAGCUCUUUCAGCCGGAAAGAAAUCGCGCAGGCUAAUACUCUGCGUGGAUGACGGUACCGGAAGAAGAAGCACCGGCUAACUACGU